AUUGAACGCUGGCGGCAUGCCUUACACAUGCAAGUCGAGCGGUAGAGAGGUGCUUGCAUCUCUUGAGAGCGGCGGACGGGUGAGUAAUGCCUAGGAAUCUGCCUAGUGGUGGGGGAUAACGUUCGGAAACGGACGCUAAUACCGCAUACGUCCUACGGGAGAAAGCGGGGGAUCUUCGGACCUCGCGCCAUUAGAUGAGCCUAGGUCGGAUUAGCUAGUUGGUGAGGUAAUGGCUCACCAAGGCGACGAUCCGUAACUGGUCUGAGAGGAUGAUCAGUCACACUGGAACUGAGACACGGUCCAGACUCCUACGGGAGGCAGCAGUGGGAAUAUUGGACAAUGGGCGAAAGACCUGAUCCAGCCACUGCCGCGUGUGUGAAGAAGGUACUUCGGAUUGUAAAGCACUUUAAGUU
rnacentral:rRNA from 1 species